rnacentral:rRNA from 1 species
CCCUUAGAUGUCCGGGGCCGCACGCGCGCUACACUGAAGGAAUCAGCGUGGCUUUCUCCCUGACCCGAAAGGGUUGGGAAACCCGUUGAAUCUCCUUCGUGAUAGGGAUUGGGGCUUGAAAUUGUUCCCCAUGAACGAGGAAUUCCCAGUAAGCGCGAGUCAUAAGCUCGCGUUGAUUACGUCCCUGCCCUUUGUACACACCGCCCGUCGCUACUACCGAUUGAACGGUUUAGUGAGGGCCUCGGAUUGGUCUCGUCCCGCUCUUUACCGGGCGGCGCCGUUGGUCGAGAAGACGCUCGAACUUGAUCGUUUAGAGGAAGUAAAAGUCGUAACA